CUAGCUACAGGCUUAACACAUGCAAGUCGAGGGGCAGCAGGGCAAUAGCUUGCUAUUGCUGCUGGCGACCGGCGCACGGGUGAGUAACGCGUAUCCAACCUACCCCGCGGUCAGGGACAGCCCGGCGAAAGUCGGAUUAAUACCUGAUGCAGUCAGAAGAGGGCAUCUGAUUUUGACGAAAGAUUUAUCGCCUCGGGAUGGGGAUGCGUAGGAUUAGGCAGGCGGCGGGGUAACGGCCCACCGCGCCGACGAUCCUUAGGGGUUCUGAGAGGAAGGUCCCCCACACUGGUACUGAGACACGGACCAGACUCCUACGGGAGGCAGCAGUGAGGAAUAUUGGUCAAUGGGCGCGAGCCUGAACCAGCCAAGUAGCGUGCAGGACGACGGCCCUAUGGGUUGUAAACUGCUUUUAUGCGGGGAUAAAGUGCGGCACGUGUGCCGUUUUGUAGGUACCGCAUGAAUAAGGACCGGCUAAUUCCGUGCCAGCAGCCGC
rnacentral:rRNA from 1 species